rnacentral:lncRNA from 1 species
CAGGACUGCUCUUGGCAGCUAUGUUCUCCCUGGAUGGAGAGAAGGCCUGUGUGUCUAUGGGCAACUGUCUCCAGGAGAUGGAGAUGACAUCAGAAUAGCCGGAGCAGGUGUGAUCCAAGGUUCUGCAAGGAAAAGGAAGGAUGGUGUGGAGUGUGUUGCUGCAGGGAAGGCUUCCCAGUGGAGGUGGCUCCUGAGCUCUAGGAAAAGGGAAGUGAGUGUCCUUCCAGGCAGAGGGAACAGCAGGUGCAAAGGCCUGGGGGCUCGUCUAUAAGGCCCGCUGGAGUCACAAGCCCCAUCCCAGACUCUCCAACGCUGGACCUGCAGCGCCCAGCCCUGCCCUGGUGCUACCACCUGCCAGCUCUGUGCCUGCCCCUCCACUAGAUCAUGACUUCGGCUCCAGCUCCCUCACUCUCCAUGCCUCUCACUUGCGGGUUGUGCCCUGCUCAGCUGGCCAGACUUUGGCCCCCUCCCUACCUGGAUUUGUGAAGCCCCAAAUUUCAUCUCCCCCACCACACUUAUUCACAGCCUCCGCCUGCUGACAUACCCAGGCAAGACUCCCUUCCCCUCCAGGCAGCCAAACUUCAGUUCGAAUCUUCUGGCUCUUACCAGACCCCUGAUGAAUCCCAGGAUCUUCGCAGGUGGUCCCAGGGCCUCUUUGAACCACAGUUUUACUUAUCUGAAAAAUAAAAAGGCAUGAUUUAGAUGACUUCUGA